UACGGGGGGGGGCAAGCGUUGUUCGGAAUUACUGGGCGUAAAGGGCUCGUAGGCGGCCAACUAAGUCAGACGUGAAAUCCCCAGGCUUAACCUGGGAACUGCGUCUGAUACUGGAUGGCUUGAAUUCGGGAGAGGGAUGCAGAAUUCCAUGUGUAGCGGUGAAAUGCGUAGAUAUCUGGAGGAAUACCGGUGGCGAAGGCGGCAUCCUGGACCGACAUUGACGCUGAGGAGCGAAAGCUAGGGGAGCAAACGGG
rnacentral:rRNA from 1 species